GGGGUCGUGGCCUAGUCCGGAAUGGCGACGGGCUCCAGCGGUCUUAGCGUAUGAUGAACUAUCGGGUCUACUGAUUUGAUGAUGACCCGCUGGAGCACUGAUCUAAUCACUGCUCUUGAACAUGUUCGCUUGUCGGAGAGACCCGUCGAUCGUGAGUUCAAAUCUCACCGACCCCA
rnacentral:tRNA from 1 species